AUUGAACGCUGGCGGCAGGCCUAACACAUGCAAGUCGAGCGAGUGGCGGACGGGUGAGUAAUGUCUGGGAAACUGCCUGAUGGAGGGGGAUAACUACUGGAAACGGUAGCUAAUACCGCAUACCAUCAGAUGUGCCCAGAUGGGAUUAGCUAGUAGGUGGGGUAAUGGCUCACCUAGGCGACGAUCCCUAGCUGGUCUGAGAGGAUGACCAGCCACACUGGAACUGAGACACGGUCCAGACUCCUACGGGAGGCAGCAGUGGGGAAUAUUGCACAAUGGGCGCAAGCCGGAUGCAGCCAUGCCGCGUGUAUGAAGAAGGCCUUCGGGUUGUAAAGCACUUUCAGCGGGGAGGCGUUACUCGCAGAAGAAGCACCGGCUAACUCCGUGCCAGCAGCCGCGGUAAUAC
rnacentral:rRNA from 1 species